rnacentral:tRNA from 1 species
AUCUUUUUAAUAUAAUAAGUAUAUUUGGCUUCCAACCAGAAAGUCUAGAAAAAUCUAGGAAAGAUA